GAUGUUGUGGUGUAGUGGUUAUCACGUUAGUCUUACACACUAAAAGUCCCUACUUCAAUCCUGGGUAACAACA